rnacentral:sRNA from 1 species
CAAUGGCAUAAUAGAAUAGUUUAAUUUGUUAA